GCGGGACUAGCCGAAUGGCAUAGGCGCUAGUCUUAGGAACUAGUUUUUCUGGGUUCGAAUCCCAGGUCCCGUA
rnacentral:tRNA from 1 species